rnacentral:rRNA from 1 species
UACGGAGGGUGCGAGCGUUGUCCGGAAUCAUUGGGCGUAAAGGGCGCGUAGGUGGCCUGAUAAGGGUGUGGUGAAAGUCCGGGGCUUAACCCCGGAUCUGCCGUGCCGACUGUUAGGCUAGAGUGCUGUAGGGGCAGGCGGAAUUCCGGGUGUAGCGGUGGAAUGCGUAGAGAUCCGGAGGAAGACCGGUGGCGAAGGCGGCCUGCUGGGCAGAUACUGACACUGAGGCGCGACAGCGUGGGGAGCAAACAGG